CCUACGGGAGGCAGCAGUGAGGAAUAUUGGUCAAUGGACGAGAGUCUGAACCAGCCAAGUCGCGUGAAGGAUGACUGCCCUAUGGGUUGUAAACUUCUUUUAUAAAGGAAUAAAACGAGGCACGUGUGCCUUUUUGCAUGUACUUUAUGAAUAAGGAUCGGCUAACUCCGUGCCAGCAGCCGCGGUAAUACGGAGGAUCCGAGCGUUAUCCGGAUUUAUUGGGUUUAAAGGGAGCGUAGAUGGGUUGUUAAGUCAGUUGUGAAAGUUUGCGGCUCAACCGUAAAAUUGCAAUUGAUACUGGCAGUCGUGAGUACAGUUGAGGUAGGCGGAAUUCGUGGUGUAGCGGUGAAAUGCUUAGAUAUCACGAAGAACCCCGAUUGCGAAGGCAGCUUACUAAACUGUGACUGACAUUGAUGCUCGAAAGUGUGGGUAUCAAACAGGAUUAGAUACCCGGGUAGUC
rnacentral:rRNA from 1 species